AUUGUUUCGUUCAAGUCAACUGUGUUUCCGUGUACUUAGCUACUAGCUAACAGAGCUGUCAAGGCAGGCAAUAUGAACAUUUAAAUAACUAUGCCAAACUGUGACAAGUUUGGAAAAGUGUCUUAGACCGUUUGUGUAGACAUGGAUUGACGAGUUAUUUUUCAUCGUGCCAACUUCCCGAGCCCUUGCUACGCUACUCGGCGUCCAGCCAUGCCUCUCGUCGGGGCAAACCAACCACAGUUGAUUCGUUCAAGUCAGAAGGACGAAUAUUAUCAACAGUGUCUCAGGAACAACGCGAAUGAAGCUUUCCAAACUCUUGCAGGGUCCAAGAGAUGGCUGCACUGGAGAAAAGAGAUCCAACUCCUGUCAGACCUGGCAUACUAUGGUUUAACCACAUUCUCAGGGUACCAGACGUUGGGCGAGGAGUAUGUCAGUAUCAUCCAAGUGGACCCCACUCUGCGCAGGGUACCAUCGCGCGUCAGACGAGGAGCCCUGGUGCUCCUCCACAGCCUGUUUCCAUACCUGCUGGACAAGCUGUUGGUGUGCCUGGAGAAUGAGCUGGAGGCGGGGGAGGAGGAGAGCCAUGGAGGUGGAAUCCAGAGAGCAACAGUGGCCAGUCCUUGGAGCCCCGGAGCCUGGAUGAGAGGCUGGGUCCGGAGGGCAUUGGGGCUGCUGACGGAGCCCCAGAGGAGGGCGUGUGUGCCGGCCGUGUUGGCCCUCCAGCAGGGACUCUCCAUUCUCCACCGGGUGCAUGUGGCCUUGUUUUACAUCAGUGGGGCCUUCUACCACCUGGGGAAGAGGACGGCCGGAGUGAGCUAUCUACGGGUACGUGGUGUGACGGGGGACGACGGGGACAUCCGGAGCAGCUACAGGCUCCUGGGCGUGAUCUCCCUGAUGCAGCUGGCCCUCACGCUGGCCCUGCAACUCAACAACCUCCGUCAGAGACAGAGAGCCCGGCAGGAGUGGAGACAACACAGGAAACUGCCCUCCAGACUCGACAGCCUUGGUUUCUCAAAUGAUUGCCUCGCCUGGUUCACCAACUACUUCUCUGAUAGAGUUCAGUGUGUCAAAUCGGAGGGUCUGCUGUCCGGACCUCUGGCAGUCUCUAUGGGGGUGCCACAGGGUUCAAUUCUUGGACCGACUCUCUUCUCUGUAUACAUCAAUUAUGCCGCUCUUGCUGCUGGUCCCAAUCUGUAGACGAGACUGACUCUCCCCGUGCCUCUCGCUGUAUCCUGUGUCUAGAGGAGAGGAGACACUCGACCUCCACCCCGUGUGGUCAUCUGUUCUGCUGGGAGUGCAUCACAGAGUGGUGCAACACCAAGGCGGAGUGCCCUUUGUGUCGUGAGAAGUUCCAGCCUCCUCGACUAGUCUACCUGAGGAACUACUAGCCGAAGAGCCAGAACCUGUUCUUAUUAUAUGACUCACUUCCUACAUGACUGGAUCGCCACAUUGGACUGUUGCAUCGUUAAACACAACGGUUUACUCUAUCAGAGUUUAGCUAUCCCUUGUUGAGAUCCCAUCUGAAUAGCAUCUCACUUAGAGAAUGGCUCGAGAUCUUAUUUUGGGGCGUUGAUUCAGAUAUUGCCCGUGUCAAGAUAUGUCCAGUAUGAAAGAAAAUGUGUGCAUGAAGCAUUUCAUUGUUUUUGUCGAAGAAAAAAACCUUUCGGUAUACAGAAUAUUAUUGUAAAGAUCUGUACAACACUGUCCUCAGCCCUUUCAUUCUGUGUCAGGCCUACACACUGGGAUCAUUUGUAGGUAAUGGCUAUAUAUCUUUUUUAAAUUUCUUUGAUAAUGUACUGUUUCUACGUUUUAUGAGAAUACGUAACGCAGUGCACUAUAUUGAACAAUCAUACAUGUUUCAAUGGUUUGCAUAUGAAUCAUAUUGGAUUGUAUCAGUCUGUAACUGAUCUAAAUGUGUACAUUUAAAACAAUGACUAAUCAA